GUCUACGGCCAUACCACCCUGAACGCGCCCGAUCUCGUCUGAUCUCGGAAGCUAAGCAGGGUCGGGCCUGGUUAGUACUUGGAUGGGAAGAAAGUAAAAUUUUAUUAUAAUUC
rnacentral:rRNA from 1 species